rnacentral:rRNA from 1 species
UGCAAGUCGAACGCUUCUUUUUCCCCGGAGCUUGCUCCACCGGAAAAAGAGGAGUGGCGAACGGGUGAGUAACACGUGGGUAACCUGCCCAUCAGAAGGGGAUAACACUUGGAAACAGGUGCUAAUACCGUAUAACAAUCGAAACCGCAUGGUUUUGAUUUGAAAGGCGCUUUCGGGUGUCGCUGAUGGAUGGACCCGCGGUGCACUAGCUAGUUGGUGAGGUAACGGCUCACCAAGGCCACGAUGCAUAGCCGACCUGAGAGGGUGAUCGGCCACAUUGGGACUGAGACACGGCCCAAACUCCUACGGGAGGCAGCAGUAGGGAAUCUUCGGCAAUGGACGAAAGUCUGACCGAGCAACGCCGCGUGAGUGAAGAAGGUUUUCGGAUCGUAAAACUCUGUUGUUAGAGAAGAACAAGGAUGAGAGUAACUGUUCAUCCCUUGACGGUAUCUAACCAGAAAGCCACGGCUAACUACGUGCCAGCAGCCGCGGUAAUACGUAGGUGGCAAGCGUUGUCCGGAUUUAUUGGGCGUAAAGCGAGCGCAGGCGGUUUCUUAAGUCUGAUGUGAAAGCCCCCGGCUCAACCGGGGAGGGUCAUUGGAAACUGGGAGACUUGAGUGCAGAAGAGGAGAGUGGAAUUCCUGUGUAGCGGUGAAUGCGU